UGGGGAAUAUUGGACAAUGGGCGAAAGCCUGAUCCAGCAAUGCCGCGUGGGUGAAGAAGGUCUUCGGAUCGUAAAGCCCUUUCGACGGGGACGAUGAUGACGGUACCCGUAGAAGAAGCCCCGGCUAACUUCGUGCCAGCAGCCGCGGUAAUACGAAGGGGGCUAGCGUUGCUCGGAAUUACUGGGCGUAAAGGGCGCGUAGGCGGCGGCCCAAGUCAGGCGUGAAAUUCCUGGGCUCAACCUGAGGACUGCGCUUGAUACUGGGUUGCUUGAGGAUGGAAGGGGCUCGUGGAAUUCCCAGUGUAGAGGUGAAAUUCGUAGAUAUUGGGAAGAACACCGGUGGCGAAGGCGGCGAGCUGGUCCAAUACAGACGCUGAGGCGCGACAGCGUGGGGAGCAAACAGG
rnacentral:rRNA from 1 species